rnacentral:rRNA from 1 species
GACGAACGCUGGCGGCGUGCUUAACACAUGCAAGUCGAACGGAAAGGCCUCUUUCGGGGGGUACUCGAGUGGCGAACGGGUGAGUAACACGUGAGUAACCUGCCCUUGACUUUGGGAUAACUUCAGGAAACCGGGGCUAAUACCGGAUAGGAGCUCCUGCUGCAUGGUGGGGGUUGGAAAGUUUCGGCGGUUGGGGAUGGACUCGCGGCUUAUCAGCUUGUUGGUGGGGUAGUGGCUUACCAAGGCUUUGACGGGUAGCCGGCCUGAGAGGGUGACCGGCCACAUUGGGACUGAGAUACGGCCCAGACUCCUACGGGAGGCAGCAGUGGGGAAUAUUGCACAAUGGGUGGAAGCCUGAUGCAGCAACGCCGGGUGCGGGAUGACGGCCUUCGGGUUGUAAACCGCUUUCGCUCAUGACGAAGCUUUGUGUGACGGUAGUGGGUAAAGAAGCACCGGCUAACUACGUG